AACGAACGCUGGCGGCAUGCCUAACACAUGCAAGUCGAACGAGACCUUCGGGUCUAGUGGCGCACGGGUGCGUAACGCGUGGGAACCUGCCCUUAGGUUCGGAAUAACUCCCCGAAAGGGGUGCUAAUACCGGAUAAUGUCUUCGGACCAAAGAUUUAUCGCCUUUGGAUGGGCCCGCGUUGGAUUAGCUAGUUGGUAGGGUAAAAGCCUACCAAGGCGACGAUCCAUAGCUGGUCUGAGAGGAUGAUCAGCCACACUGGGACUGAGACACGGCCCAGACUCCUACGGGAGGCAGCAGUGGGGAAUAUUGGACAAGGGGCGAAAGCCUGAUCCAGCAAUGCCGCGUGAGUGAUGAAGGCCUUAGGGUUGUAAAGCUCUUUUAGCCGGGAUGAGAAUGACAGUACCGGGAGAAUAAGCUCCGGCUAACUCCGUG
rnacentral:rRNA from 1 species